rnacentral:misc_RNA from 1 species
UUUCCGUAGGUGAGCCUGCGGAAGGAUCAUUAAUGAGUUGUCAUGGGGUUCGAUGCUGGCAGCCAGUUUUUGGAUGCAUGUGCUUGCCCUAACAAUCAUCUUCUUCCAAACACCUGUGCACAUUUUUGAGGGAGUCUUGAGUUGGUUGCCGCUCUUGGGUGAUUUUCUCACAUUCCCUUAAACCAUUAUACGCUAUUAACAAUGUUGAACGUGCUCUGUGCCGCAAGGCCAUUAAUAUAAUACAACUUUUAACAACGGAUCUCUUGGCUCUC